GGAAGUCAAAUCUGAACCUCAAUUUACAAUCAAUCAUAGAAAAUAUUUACAAGAAUAGAGGAGUAGGAAUUUUCUAGAAAUCAUAAGGUUUUCAUUUAAAGUUCCUAGGUUAUGAAUUAAUACUGGUUAAUAAAAUAUAGGAGAAAAAAAGAUAGAGAAAGGUAAAAUAAGGUUUUUAUUUAAGAUUCCUAGGUUAUGAAUUAAAACUGGUUAAUAAAAUAAAUAAGAGAAAAAAAGAUAGAGAAAGAAUUCCUAGGUUAUGAAUUAAAACUGGUUCAUAAAAUAGAAAAGAUAGAGAAAGGUAUAAAUAGCGAUGAAUAUAAGUAACCGAA